UACGUAGGGUGCAAGCGUUAAUCGGAAUUACUGGGCGUAAAGCGUGCGCAGGCGGUUGUGCAAGACCGAUGUGAAAUCCCCGGGCUCAACCUGGGAAUGGCAUUGGUGACUGCACGGCUAGAGUGUGUCAGAGGGGGGUAGAAUUCCACGUGUAGCAGUGAAAUGCGUAGAGAUGUGGAGGAAUACCGAUGGCGAAGGCAGCCCCCUGGGAUAUCACUGACGCUCAUGCACGAAAGCGUGGGGAGCAAACAGG
rnacentral:rRNA from 1 species